GAAAACAAAUUUAUUCGACAAAAAAGCGAACCGACGAGCGGAUAAGGCGAGAAAUACCUGAAAGGCAGCAGCGUAAAACACGAAAAGCCAGAAACAGUAUCAGAGAAACAGCAAAAUACACAUCAAACAAACUGAACUAAAACCGAAAACAAGAAACCGUAAAAGAAAAGCCAGAAAAAGAAGAGAAUCGAGGCAGCGUAAAUAACAAACAGAGCGAGUUGAAGCGAACAUCGAAAACCCAAAAACAGAUUAAACACAAAGUCGUUUUUCCGGAAAACGCGCGGAAAAGUGAAUUUCCAUUUUUUUUUCGAGUGAAAGUUUUGGGCGCUAACGCCCGCCCACGCGCCACGCCCACAAUGAACCGUUCGAACAGCUUUGUUAGCUCGCUAAAAUGGUGGCCACUUCAGGGUCACAAUAACCAACCGGCGGCGGUGGCGCCACCUGCCGGCGGCUACUCGCAAUCAGCGCCCAGUUCGCCCACCUCCAAUUGGCCACCGCCACUGCAGCAGCAGCAGAAUCCGGCCGCCCACCGGCUCCUGCCGCCCAACGCCCACCAGAAAGUGGCCGGUGGUGGAAUCGCCGGAGUCACCUUCGGCAGCAGCGUGGCCGUCCAAAAGCUGCGCGAAUCCAAGUGGUUCAAGCCCGAGGAGCAGCGCAUCUUUUGCGCCGUCGUCGAGUGCGGAUUUGUGGUUGAGAUCCGGAGCAUCGCCGCCGCAGAAGCAGCUGCGGCCAAUGCAGCAGCCGCAGCAGCUGCCGCCGCAUCCGGCGAUGCCGAUGGCGACGAUGAUGGCGACGUCGACGCCCUGGAGGAGAUCGACUGUCCGUUGACCCAACAACCGCUCAACCCACCACCGAAAGCCCAAUCGAAGUCCCAGUCCCACCAGCAGCUGGUCAUACCGCGCAACGGGAGCAGCUUCCUCGAGACGCAGGACGAGAACGAGACGCCAGUGGCCUCCUGGUACGGCAUCGUCCUCUGCAAGGUGGCCAAAGACAAUAAGCCCAAGCCCGAGACCAUUGAGAUAUUUUCUGUGAAAAUACGUGAGAAUGGCACAUACAAACUAAUCAAAAUGCAGCUUGCGGAUAUUUGGAGUCAUGGAUGGGAGUUGCGCAUCAAUAAUUUUGCCGACAAGGAAAAAGUGCCGCACAACGAAAAGGACAUUCGCAAUCAGGUGUCGGUGGCGCGCAAGGCCAAGCAGAGUCUGUGGAACAACAACAAGCAUUUCGUGUACUGGUGUCGAUAUGGAAGUCGUCAGCAGGAUCUGCGGAAGCGACAGGUAACGACGAGUGCCAAUCACGUGCUGCUGCACCUGAUCAAUUGAUAAAUUGAUAAGCGGAGCCAAGAAGCCGAAUGCCGAAAGGCGAAGAGCAAAUGAAAUAAGCAAAAUGAAGCGCCGCGACACAGAAACCAAAAUUUGCCAGUCCCACAAACCCUCUACCUGAUCCUACCAACCCAGUCCAAAAUCCAAACCCAAACUUCCGCCCACCCACAUGCAUUGAUUGUUGUAGUUGCAGCCGCAAAAAGCAAAAAAAAAAAAAAAAGGGCAAAAUAACAACAACAAAAAAGCAAUGUAAAAACACAACAACACUCACACACACACACACACACUGACCAAACCAUAUACUCAAAACUAAGCAUGCACGACAAAAAAAAAAAAAAAGUGGACUAAAAACGUACUGAGGAGGGAACCAGAAAAAAAGAACCAUUAACUUUUCUAGGGCCCUAUCUAAAACCAACUUCAUCCAACCACUGAAUCAUGCUUGCUUUGCUCAUAUCCAAUAUUCGCCAAGUUAAAAAAAAAAAAAAAUGAAAAGAAAAGAAUAAGAAGAUGGUAACCCAGAGAAAUUUCCAUACGAUUUAACCUUUAGAAACUUAAAUGCAUCCACCCACACUCCCCGCAUAUUAUUUCGUUCGAGAAAACGAUCAUCUUCUUCAGUACUGAAAAGCAUUACUUUCUGUGUAUAUAUAUUUACAUAUGCAUAUUUAUUUCUGUGAGACUGCAAACUGCCCAUUUAAUGUUGUAUGUUUAAUAAUGUGCAAAACUGAUUGUCCGGGGGCCCCGUGUGAUUUGGUUUUCGAUUUCGUCAAGACUUUGCUUGAUUUUCUUUUUCAACCACUUUCAGUUAGAUUUUCCGGAUUCAAAGCCAAAUAUACGUUGAGUUUGUGUUUAGCAAAGGCUCAAUGUCUGGCAAAUUGUACUGGAUUAUCUGGCGGAAUGCGAAUGAAAAGCGAAAUUAUUGGCAUUGGCAUUGGCAUUGACAUUGACAUUGGCAUUGGCAUUUGGGAUUGGCGAAAAUGAAGAUCGGAAACGGGCCUCCUGGGCUGCCUGCCGGGCUGCUCUCUUCUCUUCUUAUUCCGGCACAUAUUAUUCCGGCUCUAUAUUCCGGCUAACCGCCUUCAAUCGCAACCUGAGACAUGUCGGAGUGCGUGAAGUGGGGCAGCGUGGGCAUGAAUGCGGGUAUGCUGCUGGUGCUCAAUAAUCGGCAAAAAUGCUAUUCCCACUCAAAGUAACAAGAGAACAAAAACCAAAAACCCUUUAUUUUCCAUUUCUCGUUUUUUAUUACAAAAAAAAAAAAAAAAAAAAAAAAAAAAAAAUCAAAGAAGAAAUAAGUAACUACUUUGCUGCCGGCGUUCCAGAGGCAACCAAACACAGACCGAUUUUACACAGCAAACAAGUAUUAAAGUAAAUUCGGAUGAUAAGAUAAUUUAUGGCUUAAGAACGCCAAGGGCAGUGGAAAAAAAACCAAAUGCAAAUAUACGUAUUAAGUGCAAAGAGAGCCAAGAAAAUUCAGAUCAGGGCGAGGGCUUUUGGCAGUAUUAAAAAAUAAAAUCAAUUAAAUUAAAUCAAAAUCAAAAUAAAAUACACUGAACUGAACUGAACUAAACUAAACUAAAAGCGAGGCCAGAGCAAAGCAAGAAACAUGGUCUGUACUAAAUCACCCUACACUACACUCCCGCCCAUGAUUGUAUAGCUGUUGCAACUCGAGCUACAAUUUAUCAAAUACUUUUGUAUUUACAAUUGUGUAUAUGACACAGAACGAGAGAGAGAGACACACACACACACACUGUGAAAUUCGAAAAGACUUAUUAAAUAUUUGUUUGUUUUUUUUUCGUCCUAAUUUUUUGUUUUCAUGUGAUUAAAUUAUACGUAUACAUUAUUAUAUAUUUAUACAUUUUGAAUGGCAAGCAUAUGCAAGGCAACAAUUUUUGUUUUCUUUGUUAUUUAAGCGUAAUUAAGAAAAAACCCACAAGUGGGAAAAAACAAAAAAAAAAAAAAAAUUAAGCGAAAACUCUACGUAGCAGGCAUAUUAAUUUAGCAUUGUAAAAACAAUCAAAAACAUUCGAAAUGUUUCGUUAUGUAUUUAGCUCUACAUGACCGACAAACGAUGACCCAAAGACGGCGACCCAGAAACAAAAACAGAAACAGAAUAUCUAAGCAAAAAUGGCAACUUUAAUUGCCGGAAAAUAUUUUUGUACAUAGGCAACUGGACGCACUACGGACUCUUCACACACGUAAUCAAACAAAAAAGAGGAUGCAAACCACAAAAUUACAAAAAAAAAAAAUUUACAAAAUUACAAAAAUAUAUAAAAUGAACGGUAGUUCGUAAGCUAUACAUAUACAUAUAUACAUUAUUACUUAUUUUGUUUAAGUUUUGUCUUUUGUAAGCAAUUUAUAAAAUAUUUAUAGUAGUCUUAUAUACAUUUCGACAAUGUGAGGAAAUUUGAAUAUAAAACGUUUGUAAAAUGCUUUAUAUUGAUAAUAUUAUUAAAUGUUUACCAACGGAUACAACAAAA